AAGUGGCACACUUCAACAGGCAUAAUGAAUUUAGAAGGACCCUUUCUUAAAAGAUAUCAAGGUCUGUUCCAAAUAAAUCUGAGGAAAUGUCUGUAGAAGUACUUGAGGAAAACCUGGAACUGAGUUCACCACAAGAUACUAUUACUAUGGUGCUGUGGGUGAGCUUACUGACCAUUCACACAAAAGGACAGCCAAAUAAGGCUGAUGCGUGAUUGGCUAAUUGGCCACCUU